GCGCCAUUCCUGCCUCAACCUCCGGACGUGCUAAGAUUACAGCAGCUUUCUCAGGUUGAAUACUACAAUGUUGAAGAGCAGUUGAAAGCAGGCAUCCUUGUUCCUGGUGAUCAAACUGAUUAAAUUAAAAUAAAUUUAAUUGUUUUCUUUGA